GACGAACGCUGGCGGCGUGCUUAACACAUGCAAGUCGAACGGAAAGGCCCUGCUUUUGUGGGGUGCUCGAGUGGCGAACGGGUGAGUAACACGUGAGUAACCUGCCCUUGACUUUGGGAUAACUUCAGGAAACUGGGGCUAAUACCGGAUAGGAGCUCCUGCUGCAUGGGGGGGGUUGGAAAGUUUCGGCGGUUGGGGAUGGACUCGCGGCUUAUCAGCUUGUUGGUGGGGUAGUGGCUUACCAAGGCUUUGACGGGUAGCCGGCCUGAGAGGGUGACCGGCCCCAUUGGGACUGAGAUACGGCCCAGACUCCUACGGGAGGCAGCAGUGGGGAAUAUUGCACAAUGGGCGGAAGCCUGAUGCAGCAACGCCGCGUGCGGGAUGAAGGCCUUCGGGUUGUAAACCGCUUUCGCCUGUGACGAAGCGUGAGUGACGGUAAUGGGUAAAGAAGCACCGGCUAACUACGUG
rnacentral:rRNA from 1 species